rnacentral:tRNA from 1 species
GGCUGGUUAGCUCAGUCGGUUAGAGCGUGGUGCUGAUAACACCAAGGUGGCGGGUUCAAUCCCUGCUCGUUCCC